UACGGGGGGCNUUUGUGGGGAAUAUUGCACAAUGGGCGCAAGCCUGAUGCAGCCAUGCCGCGUGUAUGAAGAAGGCCCUAGGGUUGUAAAGUACUUUCAGUCGGGAGGAAGGCGUUGAUGCUAAUAUCAUCAACGAUUGACGUUACCGACAGAAGAAGCACCGGCUAACUCCGUGCCAGCAGCCGCGGUAAUACGGAGGGUGCAAGCGUUAAUCGGAAUUACUGGGCGUAAAGCGCACGCAGGCGGUUGAUUAAGUUAGAUGUGAAAUCCCCGGGCUUAACCUGGGAAUGGCAUCUAAGACUGGUCAGCUAGAGUCUUGUAGAGGGGGGUAGAAUUCCAUGUGUAGCGGUGAAAUGCGUAGAGAUGUGGAGGAAUACCGGUGGCGAAGGCGGCCCCCUGGACAAA
rnacentral:rRNA from 1 species